GACGAACGCUGGCGGUGUGCUUAACACAUGCAAGUCGAGCGGCAAGGCACUGAUUUUGUGGGGUGCUCGAGUGGGGAACGGGUGAGUAACACGUGAGCAACCUGAUCUAGUUUUUGGGAUAACUUAACGAAACUGGGGUUAAUACAGGAUCGCAGCCCACGUUGGAUGGUAGGCGUUGGAUCGUCUCGGCGGGUGGGGAUGGACUCGCGGCUUAUGAGCUUGUUGGUGGGGUAGUGGUUGGCCCAGGCUGUGAAGGGUCGCCGGCCUGAGAGGGUGACCGGCGACAUGAGUACUGAGAUACGGCCCAGACUCCUACAGUAGGCAGCAGUGGGGAAUAUGGCACAGUGGGCGGAAGUCUGAGGCAGCAACGCCGCGGUCGUGAUGACGUCCUGCGGGGUAUAAACCGCUGUCGCCUGUGACGAAGCGGGAGUGACGGUAAUGGGUAAAGAAGCACCGGCUAACUACGUG
rnacentral:rRNA from 1 species